rnacentral:rRNA from 1 species
GCAAGUCGAGCGGAUGGAUUAAGAGCUUGCUCUUAUGAAGUUAGCGGCGGACGGGUGAGUAACACGUGGGUAACCUGCCCAUAAGACUGGGAUAACUCCGGGAAACCGGGGCUAAUACCGGAUAACAUUUUGAAUCGCAUGGUUCGAAAUUGAAAGGCGGCUUCGGCUGUCACUUAUGGAUGGACCCGCGUCGCAUUAGCUAGUUGGUGAGGUAACGGCUCACCAAGGCAACGAUGCGUAGCCGACCUGAGAGGGUGAUCGGCCACACUGGGACUGAGACACGGCCCAGACUCCUACGGGAGGCAGCAGUAGGGAAUCUUCCGCAAUGGACGAAAGUCUGACGGAGCAACGCCGCGUGAGUGAUGAAGGCUUUCGGGUCGUAAAACUCUGUUGUUAGGGAAGAACAAGUGCUAGUUGAAUAAGCUGGCACCUUGACGGUACCUAACCAGAAAGCCACGGCUAACUACGUGCCAGCAGCCGCGGUAAUACGUAGGUGGCAAGCGUUAUCCGGAAUUAUUGGGCGUAAAGCGCGCGCAGGUGGUUUCUUAAGUCUGAUGUGAAAGCCCACGGCUCAACCGUGGAGGGUCAUUGGAAACUGGGAGACUUGAGUGCAGAAGAGGAAAGU